UGGGGGUUGGUUUAUUAUUGGCUGUUUUGUUUCAAAGGUUUCUUUACAAGUGAGUUACUUGUGGUUUAUCUUGCUUUGUGUUUUUGUUUCUGGGUUUAUUUAUUAGUAGUUUAGUUUUUUGUACCAUAUUGGGGUUCUCCUAUUAAGGAGAGAGAGUUUUAUUCUUGCUUUUUCAUUCAGUUUUUGCUUGUUCUAUAUGUAAGUUUUUGCGUGGUUUGCUCUUAUUUUUCUAAAUGGGGUUUGAGUUUUAAUUUUUAUCUUCAUUAGUUGUUGUUAGUUGGUCAAUUAUUUUUGUUUCUAGCAAUUCAUUUUAGUUUCGGUUAAAUUUUGUGCCAGCAGCCGCGGUUAUACCUUGGAGGCUUUUGAAUGUGUUUGGUUUGGUAGUUUUAUGUUUGUAUUAUUGAUUUUUUUUGUUUUGUUUGUUAGGUGAAAUUUUUAUUUUUAAAAGGUUUGUUUAUUUUUCUUUUGGAGGCUAUGAAACUCUUAUUUUAGACUAGGAUUAGAUACCCUAUUAUUUUUGAGUGUUAAAGUUUUGUGCUUGAGUAGUAUUAGUUAUGUUCUUGAAACUUAAAGAAUUUGGCGGUAUCUUACUCCAUUCAGAGGAAUCUGUCUCGUUAUCGAUAGUCCGCGUUGGACCUUACUUGGUUUUUAAUUGUUUGUAUACCGCCGUUUAUUGAUUAUCUUUUUAGAGGUUUAUAAUUUUCUUGUUUCUUUAUUUUGAUUUAUUUCAGGUCAAGGUGCAGCUUUUUCUAAGUGGUAUGAUGGAUUACAAUGUUAUUUGUUGCUUGGAUUGUGUGUUUUAAUACAUGUAUGAAAUUGGAUUUGGUUGUAAUGUUUUGUAGAUUGUUUUCGUGAUAAUUGGUUCUGAGAUAUGUACACAUCGCCCGUCGCUCUCGUUUGUUUUUGUUAAUGAGAUAAGUCGUAACAAAGUGGCUGUACCGGAAGGUGCGGCUGGAAUGAUU
rnacentral:ncRNA from 1 species